AGCAUAUAUACUUCUGAGAAACUUCUCUAGUGCGAUACUGUGGUUGGUUUUUGUUGUAGCAGUUGUGGUAUAGCACAUAUAACUGCAGCGACUCUGCAACUCUACAACUUUUGACGGAUUUUCGCUUCCGAACGACCACUACUAUGGCAACUUCCCAAUCAACGGGUCCAUUUGGGCCGAGGGAAUAUACUUAUGAACAACUAGCAGAGGCAGCUCAUCACUUCUCCAACAAAUACCUCCUUGGCCAGGGUGGUUUUG
rnacentral:misc_RNA from 1 species